rnacentral:rRNA from 1 species
UACGUAGGGUCCGAGCGUUGUCCGGAAUUACUGGGCGUAAAGCGUGCGCAGGCGGUUUUGUAAGUCUGUCGUGAAAUCCCCGGGCUCAACCUGGGAAUUGCGAUGGAGACUGCAAGGCUAGAAUCUGGCAGAGGGGGGUAGAAUUCCACGUGUAGCAGUGAAAUGCGUAGAUAUCAGGAGGAACACCUGUGGUGUAGACAGCUUACUGGACCAUUUCUGACGCUGAGACACGAAAGCGUGGGGAGCGAACAGG